rnacentral:rRNA from 1 species
CCUACGGGUGGCAGCAGUGGGGAAUAUUGGACAAUGGGCGAAAGCCUGAUACAGCCAUGCCGCGUGUGUGAAGAAGGCCUUCGGGUUGUAAAGCACUUUCAGUGGGGAAGAAAGCCUUGGGGCUAAUACCCUCGAGGAAGGACAUCACCCACAGAAGAAGCACCGGCUAACUCCGUGCCAGCAGCCGCGGUAAUACGGAGGGUGCGAGCGUUAAUCGGAAUUACUGGGCGUAAAGCGCGCGUAGGCGGUCUGAUAAGCCGGUUGUGAAAGCCCCGGGCUCAACCUGGGAACGGCAUCCGGAACUGUCAGGCUAGAGUGCAGGAGAGGAAGGUAGAAUUCCCGGUGUAGCGGUGAAAUGCGUAGAGAUCGGGAGGAAUACCAGUGGCGAAGGCGGCCUUCUGGACUGACACUGACGCUGAGGUGCGAAAGCGUGGGUAGCAAACAGGAUUAGAUACCCCAGUAGUC